UACGGAGGGUGCAAGCGUUAUCCGGAUUCACUGGGUUUAAAGGGUGUGUAGGCGGGCUAUUAAGUCAGUGGUGAAAUCUCCGGGCUCAACCCGGAAACUGCCAUUGAUACUAUUAGUCUUGAAUCUUGUUGAGGUAGGCGGAAUAUAUCAUGUAGCGGUGAAAUGCUUAGAUAUGAUAUAGAACACCGAUUGCGAAGGCAGCUUACUAAACAGGCAUUGACGCUGAGGCACGAAAGCGUGGGGAUCAAACAGG
rnacentral:rRNA from 1 species